GUCAAGUUGGCCGAGUGGUCUCUGCGCCAGAUUUAAGCUCUGGGUCCCAAGUGGGAGCGUGGGUUCGAACCCCACACUUGACA